rnacentral:rRNA from 1 species
AGAGUUUGAUCCUGGCUCAGAACGAACGCUGGCGGCGUGCUUAACACAUGCAAGUCGAACGCGAAAAGUUUUCUUCGGAAGACGAGUAGAGUGGCGCACGGGUGAGUAACGCGUAAGUAAUCUACCCCGGCAUCUGGAAUAACUCACCGAAAGGUGUGCUAAUACCGGAUACGUUGGUAACAAGAAAGGUGGCCUCUGCAUAUGCUACCGUGCUGGGAUGAGCUUGCGUACCAUUAGCUAGUUGGUAGGGUAAWGGCCUACCAAGGCGACGAUGGUUAGCGGGUCUGAGAGGAUGAUCCGCCACACUGGAACUGGAACACGGACCAGACUCCUACGGGAGGCAGCAGUGAGGAAUAUUGCGCAAUGGGGGCAACCCUGACGCAGCGACGCCGCGUGGAUGAUGAAGGCCCUUGGGUCGUAAAAUCCUGUCAGAUGGAAAGAAAUGUACAGGUGUUAAUAUCGCCUGUAUUUGACGGUACCAUCAAAGGAAGCACCGGCUAACUCCGUGCCAGCCGCCGCGGUAAUA